GUAAAUAUCUAAUUUCAGUGAAAUAAAGACAAUGUAAUUUCUUCAUAAUUGCAAUGAAAUAAAGAAAAAUUAGUCUAUUGACCAAUGGUAGAUUUUGGUAUUUUUGUUUUGGCCAUUCAUGGAAGUUUACAACGAUCAUAACGUUUUAAAUCGUACUUGUAUUUUUUGUAGAUUUAUGAGAAAAGGUAAGUACAAUAAAGAGUAAUUGCAGGGAAGAAGAGGGAUAUUAAUGAUUGGAGAAGGAGAACCGCGUAUCAGGCUGGGCUAUGUCGGUUUCUCAUGACACGGUCUUGUUGUAUCACACCGAUUAUAUAUUAUCGUUUUACAGCAAUGUUUAUAUCAUGCCUACAAAAUAUAGGGAUUCAAAUUGCUUAACCACGUUGUAUUCUUCUUCUUCUUCUUGUCCAACUUUUUCUACGAAAUUAUAGCAAAUCAAAUUCAUGCUAUUUAUUGAACGCAAAUGUUUAAUUUUCAGACAAAUCAGAUUCUUACUUUUGCUGUUCAAACCCCAAAAUUCAAUGAAGAAAUUUUAUAAUAUUCAUCAGAUACUGAGCGGAUUUUAAGCAAAAAACCAAGAGAAGUGAUAGAUACUGAGCGAGUUUGAUAUGAAGAUUAUCUUGGCCGGAGGUUGAUUAUCGUCUUUCCAACGAAGCAACUGCAACACCAUUAUAUGGAUAUUUGGUGUCUCGUCAUCAGAGUCGUGCCAAUGAAUUUUGAUGCUAUAAACAAAA
rnacentral:sRNA from 1 species